UACACAUAUAUGCGUGUAUAUGUACAUGUAGAGGUAGGUACGUACAUAUAUGUUUAUAUAUAUGCAUAUGUUCUAUUUUAUUAACAUAUUAUACGACUAAACGCACGCACCCUAUUAAGUAAGAUUGUUCUGUUUAUCAAGUUAGCCUUGAUAUUAACUCUCACGCGACUCUGCAUCUUUCUUUCUUUCUCUCCCAUUCCCUUUUUCGUCCUUUUUCCCUCACUUAACUUGUCUCUUCCUCUCUCUCUCAUUCUUCAUUCUCUCUCUCCCCCUCACCAUUCUUCAUGGUCUCCUCGCACCAUUCCCCUUCUUCUCUCUCUUCCUCUUGCUCCUCCUCCCCCAUUCCCGUCGUCCAUCUGCGACGAUACUUCCGUCGUAACUGCUAUCCUGUCUUUUCUCGCCCGCCUUCUAAGGCCACUGGUCGACAUUCUUUCUCUCUCGUCGUCCACUAUAAUCCAGCGUUUGCAUUACUUUUUUCGUCUGGCGUAAACAGCCCUUCUUAUCUUGUUCUCCUUGUCCUGUCUCUCACUGUUAUAUAUUUAUUUUUCAACUGUUUUUUUUUUUUUUACUGUUUAUAUGUUUGUACUGUCGUUACCGUCUUGCUUUUUUUACCAUUUUUUACCCCUCUGCGAAAAGAGCUCAGAAUUUUAAUUGAUUUGCUUUUCGCAGGAAGGAAGUUUCUUCGAAGUAUACGUCUCGCUUUUAUCCUUUGAAACGUAGAGUAGAUGAAACCUUAGCGACUGAAGAAGGGGAUUUUUCGUUGUGCUUAUUGUCCUGUAUCUCUUUUUUUCUUUUUUGCUUGUCCUGUUCCUUGGUUUGUGUCUAUGUUUUUCGUCUCUCUAUGUGAUCGACGUCUUUUUGGUGUCCUGUACACAUAUAUGCGUGUAUAUGUACAUGUAGAGGUAGGUACGUACAUAUAUGUUUAUAUAUAUGCAUAUGUUCUAUUUUAUUAACAUAUAUAUAUAUAUAUAUAUAUAUAUAUAUAUAUAUAUAUAUACACUCAUACACAUGCAUAUAUAUAUACACACACACACACACACACAUAUAUAUACACAUUGUUAUCAUGUACAUUGUUUUGUCUUGGUAUAUGGGAUGGGCUAGAGCAAAUAUUCUGCUCAAUACCUCAGAUUUGCUUGUCAGUUGCUUGACCUUAACCAGUUGAGCAUGUCCCUUAGAGGCUGAUCACGAGCAGAAGUAGUAGGGAAGCAUCAUAGCCAUGUGUUGAGAGGGAUUUUUGGGGGUUUCAAUAAUACAUGUCUGGAAACAGAUAUUUUAUUCAUCAUCCUUAAACAAACCUUAUUCAGGGACCUUUUGAGUAGGUAGGGCUACCCGACCUGAAAAAUCAUGCGCUGUCCCACCUGCAAAAUAAUGCGCUGUUUAUCUUGAUAUGAGAUCCCCAUGUCACUCACAUAUGGUAGUCAUGAUGGGUAUACUGGGCUUUGUAUAUUUUACCACAUUGUCACUUUGAUAGCAUGCACUUCUCUCUCACUCAAUAAUAAUAAUUAUUAUUAUUACUAUUAUUAUUAUUAUUUCAAUUUUUUUCUUGCCACAAGGACAGCUUGGGGGAGGUGUGGAAUGAGUCGUUUACAUUGACCCCAGGGUUCAGCUGGUACUUAUUUCAUCGAUCCUGAAAGAAUGAAAGGCAAAGUCGACCUCGGCAGAAUUUGAACUCAGAAUGUAGCGGCAGACGAAACACUGCUAAGCAUUUCACCUGGAGUGCUAAUGAUUUUGCCAGCUUGCUGCCUAAAGGCAUAGUGCGUUCAUCCCUGAGUGGGCUCAUACCACCAAACCCUCAGCAAACAGCUGAACACGCCACCCGAUUGUGUCACAGAAGCCUCAUAAUGAUGAUGAUGAUGAUGAUGAUGAUGAUGAUGAUGAUGAUGAUGAUGACGAUAGGCUUUAUUGGUAUAAGGGAUGGGCUACAACAAAUAUUCUGCUCAAUACCACAGAUUUAUUUGUCAGUUGCUUAACCAAUUGAGCUUGUCCCUUGGUGACUGACAAUAUGUGCAUCUCUUAUCAUGGGCAAAAGUAGUAGGAGAGCAGCAUAGAGAGGAAUUCUAUGGGGUUUGAUUAAUUCACCUCUGGAAACAUGAGUGUUUCAUUCAUCAUCCUUACACUGACUGUAUUAAGUGACCUUUUGAGUGGGAUGGGCUACUCAACCUGAAAAAAAUUCUGUAUCCCAUUCUUUAAAAAACAGAAAAUAUUAAAAAAAAUUAACUCAAAACUACUUAAAUUGAGAUGGGCUUCUACAUUGACGAUAAAAUAUGGAUUUUAGUGUAGACGUUAGUAUGUAGAUAUAGGUUGAUUUGGUUGUUAUUUUUAGCUGGAUGAGUAAUCAUAUACAGACACCUCCAAUAGAUCCAGUCUUGUUUGAGUACUGUGUUGUCAUUUAAAUGUUAAUUGAUUUUUUACAGUUGAGUUAAUUUAAAUACAUGACAUGCUUUAUAUAACCUAUGAGUAAUGUAUUUAAUCCAAAGAUUGCCAAAUAUAGUUAAUAAGACGGGCGAACAAUAUUUUAUUCAAUGGUCCUUCUGUGGAAAAAUGUUUUUCAAUUCAGUUCAGUAUGGGAUUCCUCCUCACUUCAGUGAAACAACAGAUUAGGCAGUCAUCAUCAUAUUUGACGGUUUGUAGGCCACAUUUUUGACAUUUUAUCUCCACAUCCCAAAAAGGGAUGCAAAAUAUCGGCUUACAUCUGACAUAACUUGGUUUGCUAAUUUAUGUAUGCAUGUAUUUAUAUAUGUAUGGAAAUAUAUAUACACACACACACACACACAUAUAUAUAAUGUAGGACUGAGAUACAGGGAUCCUGGACAGAAGGACAGACAAAAUUUCGCGCGUAUUAGUAUUAUAUUUACUGUAGCCCAUCAUUUAUAUCAAAAAACAAAAAAACUAUGUACAUGAUAACAAUUCCAAUCAGUUAGUAUUAUUAUUACCAUUAUAAUUAUUAUUCUAUGUUUGACUUUUGCUUUAUGUUUGUUACAAGUUGGCUCCAAGUCUCACCCAGAGACCUCAAGAGACAACAGGUUGGAAAUUCACGUUGUUGUUAUGCCUAGUGUGCCAUAUAUUUGGGGGGGGGGUUGGUGUUGUACUAGUGAAUGUCUAAUAAAUAAAUUUUAAAAAAAGUUUGUUUUAAACCUUGAGAUUACAUAGAGAGUAUUUUGCGUAGGAUAUGAACAGUUCCCAUGAGCACUAUCUUUUGAAUUUCUGACAUUUUGGGGUUUCCUGGUAUCUGAGUUAGGUAGCAAUCAGCCCCUUUCGCUAUUAUUCCCAGGGCACCUAUGACAACAGGUAUUGUUUUAGUCUUCAGGUUCCACAUUUUGCUGAUUUCUAUUUCAAGAUCUUUAUAUUUGCUCAGUUUUUGGUAGGUCUUGACAGAUACGUUUAUAUCGAUUGGGACAGUCAUAUCAAUGAGGAGGCAUGUUCUUUGUCUGAAGUCUUUCAAUAUGAUGUUUGGCCUGUUUGCAUCUAUCUUUCUGUCAGUUUGAAUGGUGAAGUUCCAGAGGAGUGAGAUGUGGUCAUUUUCAAGCACUGGAGGUGGAUUGUGUUCCCACCAGUUUUUUUGCAUGGGGCAAAUCCAGGUUUUUGCAAAUUACCCAGUGAAUAUAUUGUGCAGCUCUAUCAUGCCUGUUGAGGUACUCUGUAGGUGCUAGAAGACUGCACUUGGAGACAACAUGAUCAAUGGUUUCAUUUUGUUGUUGACAUACACGACAUGUUGGGCUACUGCCGUUCUUUAAUAUGUUGGCCUGGUUGUUUCUUGUUGGUAGGCAUUGAUCUUGAGCUGCUAUCAUAAACCCUUCUGUUUCAGAUUUGAAGCCAGAGGCCAUUAGCCAUUGAUGGGUCAGGGCUUUGUCAAUAUCUGCAUUAUUCGCUCUCUUUGGGUAUUUGCCAUAGAGAGGUUUUUCUUGCCAUUUAUUAUUCAGAAUAUCUAAGGCCGCAGUUUUGGCACAGGUUUUCAUGCGCUUAGCUUUUUCUGUGCUUGUUUCUUGUAUGACUAUCUCUAAUUCCGAAAUUUGUUGUAUUCGGAAUUCACUUAGAUAUUCCUUUGCCUGUUUGGUUACUGAGUAUGAUGCUUUAUUGUUUUCAUGUUUUGAGACAAGUUUUAACAUCCAGUCCUCAGACUUUUUCAGGUAGGUGUCUAGGCCAAUUGUAGCAAUCUUCAUUGUUAUUGCCAGUUGUAAAAGACCACGGCCUCCCUCUUUUCUUGGCAGAUAAAGUUGUUCUGUAUCUGCCUUAGGAUGGUGCAUUCUAUGCAUUAUUAUUAUUAUUAUUAUUAUUAUUAUUAUUAUUAUUAUUAUUAUUAUUAUUAUUAUUAUUAUCAUUAUUAUUAUUAUUAUUAUUACUUCUAUUGUUUUUGUUGUUGUAUUAAAAUUCACAGCUUAUUUUGCUGGGUAUGACGGAAAGUGUCAGCUGUCGACAGCCAGCUGACUAAAGUGAUACUUGUUUACUGGUCAUGCUUCAAGAACACUAGGAAGAAUUCUUUCAGUUCCAAGCAAAGCUGGUUUUUGUAGGUGUUCUACCUACAAACUUGCACCGAUCUUUUUCAACCAUGUUUGUAGCUGAUUGCUGAUACUUCCAAGUACACCAAUUAUUAUUGGUAUCACAUCUACUCUCUUCAUUGACCACAAUCUUUGUAUUUCUCAACUUAAAUCGUCAUAGUUGUUCAUUUCUUUUCUUCUUUCACAUUGAUCCUGUUUUCACCGGGGCAUGCUAUGUCGAUUAUCAUACAUGUUCUUUAUUUUUUAUUCCCCACAACGUCCAGUUUCCGAUGUCUGGUCAGGUGAUCGCACUGGAUCAUUGCAUCCCACGGAUUUUGCAAUUCUCAUUUUCAGUGACUCCUUCUGGGGUUUGCUCAUACUAUGUCUUUGCUCUUUGUAAGCAGUGCCUUCUACUGAGUUCCCAAUGGCUCAUUCUUGUCACAUUGUCAUGGCAUCUUUUGUAUUCGUGUUGUGCCAGUGUCAGGCAUUCGCUAACAAUGUACCAUUCUGUUUCACCCCUCUUGCCACACAUUCUGCAUUUGUCGCUGGCCUCUACCUGGGAUGUAGCCAGUCCACUUAUGCAUACCUUUCCUUCUUGGGACACAAAACUCUACUUGUGAAGACCUGUUGAGGCAAGUGGAAAUCAGAAUCAAAAUCAAAAUCGAUCAACAUCAAUAGAAAUUGCAGCUGAUACCAGUGCCGGUGGCACAUAAGCAAACCAUCCAAUUGUGGCCGUUGACAGCGCCGCCCCGAUGGGCCUCCAUGCCGGUGGCACGUCAAAAAACACCAUCUAAUUGUGUCCGUUGCCAGCCUCACCUGGCCCCUGUGCCGGUGGCACGUAAAAAGCACCCACUACACUCACGGUGUGGUUCGCAUUAGGAAGGGCAUCCAGCUGUAGAAACAUUGCCAGAUCAGACUGGGCCUGGUGUAGCCUUCUGGCUUCCCAGACCCCAGUUGAACUGUCCAACCCAUGCUAGCAUGGAAAGCAGACGCUAAAUGAUGAUGAUGAUGAUGAUGAUGUAGUUUUGUCUGUUCUGCACUUCAUAUAAUUGGUCCUUAACACUUGCUCUUGAGGAGUGCUUCUGUCUCUAUCUUCAGGUCACUCCUCUUCAUCUAUAGGUCCUCUGCAUCUGUCUUGGCAUUCACACCUCUUACAAACUGACCGUACAUUUUCUUUUCCUUCUAUGCUUCUUCUUUUCUUUUGUUCAUUUCUUGUUUAAAUUUUUCUUUAGUUACACAAUUUUCACUUUUGAUGACGCCAGCCUUCUUUGCGUAUUCUAACACUGGCUCCAUGUCAUUGGUUAUAUACCACUCUAGACUGUUUCCCUCUGCUUCGAUAAAGUCCUGGCGACUCGUCAAGCCUCUCUAUUAUUAUUAUUAUUAUUAUUACAACACUUUAUGCAUGUCUUUCUAUUGUCUUCUUCAUCCUUCGCUCUUGUGGCAAAUAAAUGAAAUCAUUAUUAGUAUCAUUGUGUUGUCUCAAAAGGCGGUGAGCUGGUAGAAUCGUUAGCCCCACUGGACCAUAUAUAUCUAUUUAUAUAUAUAUAUAGUGGCUGUGUGGUAAGAAGCUUGCUUACCAACCACAUGGUUUCAGGUUCCAUAUCACUGUGUGGCACAUUGGGCGAGUGUCUUUUGUUAUAACCUCGAGCUGACCAAACCCUUGUGAGUGGAUUUGGUAGACGGAAGCUGAAAGAAGCCCAUCGCAUGUAUAUGUGUGUGUGUGUGUGUGUGUGCAUGCGCGCGCGUGUAUGUGUGUGUGUGCGCGUGUAUGUGUCUGUGCGUUUGUCCCCCCCAACAUUACUUGACAACCGAUACUGGUGUGUUUAGUCCCCGUAACUGAGCGGUUCAGCAAAAGUACUAGAUUUACAAAGAAUAAGUCAUGGGGUUGAUUUGCUCAACUAAAGGCCAUGCUCCAGCAUGGCCACAGUCACAUGACUGAUACAAAUAAAAGAAUAUAUAUAUACAUACAUACAUAUUUUAUAUAUAUAUAUAUAUAUAUAUAUAUAUAUAUAUAUAUAUGUAUGUAUGUAUGUAUAUGUGUAUAUAUAUAAGGUUGAGUCAAAAAGUAAUGCCAUAUUGUUUAGGACAGUUAUAAUCACCAACACAGGAACAUGUAUCAUACAUCAAAAUGAAGCUGGGCCUCUGUGGAUCACAUCCCUACUUCUCAACAUAGUCACCAUUUCUCUCAAUAGCAACGUUCCACCUUCAAAUGAGAGCAUGUAUCCCUGCCCCGUAAAAUUCUGUUGACUGUUCUUUGAGCCAGUUCUUCACUACAGUUUUCACUUCCUCAUCACUGGAAUAAUGUUUACCUCUAAAACCCUUUCAUUAUGCCAGUGACCUGUGAGUGAAUGUGUGUCCUCCUCUCACUCUCUCUCUCUCUCUCUCUCUCUCUCUCUUCCUCUCUCUCUCUCUCUUCUCUCUCUCUCUCUCUCUCUCUCUCUCUCUCUCUCUCUCUCUCUCUCUCUUUGAUGCCAGACUAUGAACCCUCUUCUCUUCUUUAUUGUAAAAUAUAUCUGUUUGCUACAGUUUCUAACCCUUUUGUUACCAACUGGGCUGAAACCAGCUCUGGCUCUGAGUACAAAUGUUUUUUUUUCAUAGGUUUUGAAUUAAAAUCUUCCACCAAACCUUAGUCACAAUUUAUGUUCCUAACACUAGCUUAAUGAUAACUAAGUUAUUUUACAAAUUUUUUUCGUUAUAAUUCAAGUAAUUGAAAGAAACACAGAGCAUCUCAAAGUAAAUACAGUAAUGAAAGGGUUAAGAGAUGAGGAAUUAUGUACAUUAUUUACAUUGUUUACAUUAUUUACAUUCAACAACAAACAAGAUGAGGACAAAUAUCUGUCAAAUGUAAAUAAUGUAAAUAAUGUAAAUAUCUGUUUGCUUUUGUUGAUUUUGUUGUUAUACUUGUUUAAGCAAGUCACUUAACUUUUUUAUUUAUCUAUGUUUUUACCAGAGAUUUUUUUUUUAAAUGGCAUCUGCAAUUCGGAAAUUAAUUUGUUGUUGCCAAACUGAUGAAGAAAUGAUUCCAUAUCAUGACAAAGACAUCCCAAAGGUGGUAGUUUAUUCCUCGGAGGUGAAAAAGAAAGAAAAGUCGAAAAAAUGCAAAGAGAAAGAUAAAAAGAAAGAUAAAAAGAAACAUAAAAAGAAACAUAAAAAGAAAAAGAAGAAAAAAGAUGAUGAUGAUGACGAUGAUGAUGAUGAUGAAAGUAGCAGUGAUGAAAGCAGUAGUGAUGAAAGCAGUAGUGAAGACAGUGAGGAAGAGAAGGAGGAGGAGGAGGAAGAGGAAGAAGAAGAGAAAGGGGAGGAGGAAGUGGAGGAGGAAGUGGAGGAGGAAGUGGAAGAGGAAGAGAAAGAGGAGGAGGAGGAAGUGGA
rnacentral:lncRNA from 1 species